CCUACGGGAGGCAGCAGUGGGGAAUAUUGGACAAUGGGGGGAACCCUGAUCCAGCGACGCCGCGUGAGUGAAGAAGUAUUUCGGUAUGUAAAGCUCUAUCAGCAGGGAAGAAAGAAAUGACGGUACCUGACUAAGAAGCCCCUGCUAACUACGUGCCAGCAGCCGCGGUAAUACGUAGGGGGCAAGCGUUAUCCGGAUUUACUGGGUGUAAAGGGAGCGUAGACGGCGAUGCAAGUCUGAAGUGAAAGGCGGGGGCUCAACCCCGGGACUGCUUUGGAAACUGUAUGGCUGGAGUGCAGGAGAGGUAAGUGGAAUUCCUAGUGGAGCGGUGAAAUGCGGAGAUAUUAGGAGGAACACCAGGGGCGAAGGCGGCUUACUGGACUGUAACUGACGUUGAGGCUCGAAAGCGUGGGGAGCAAACAGGAUUAGAUACCCCUGUAGUC
rnacentral:rRNA from 1 species